GUUCACAUUGCAAGUCAUGUUUUCUUCGUAUCCUGUGGGUCCCCGGAAAUAGCCUGUGAAAUCGACUGUGGCCCCUUCUUCUCUCCAGAUUCUCCGUAGAACUUCAACUGCCUCACUGGAGUGGAUCAGCCGCACUUGCGCCUGGGCCGUCCCGGCCCAAAGCAGGGGAAAGGACAGGAGAGCAAGCUGACCAUGGAGAGAAACCUCUACAAACUGUGAGCUGAGCCGGGCGCGGUGGUGCUUGCCUGUCAUCCCAGCACUGGGGAGGCUGGGGCAGGAGGAUCAUUGCAAGUUCAAGAGCAGCCUGGAUUACAAAAUAAGUCUGAGACCAGCCUGAAUUGCAUAGCAAGACCCUGUCUCAAAAAGACAAAAUCUACCAAGCAAACAAACCAAAAUCCCUGUGAGCUGAAACAAAUUUUUCUUCCUUUAAUUUGUGAAUGUUGGGUAUUGUGUCUGAGUGAUGAGAAAAGAAACUAAGACAGCUAUGCUGGAUUAUAAUAACUAUUUUCUCUUAUCUGUCUUUAUUUUGUACUUUUUAAAUAUUAGGUUUCUCAUAUAAGAGAAGCCAAGUGAUAUUUAAACUGUGAGUCUUAUUUACUUCACUUAACAUCAUGGUCCCAAGGUGCACCCAUUUUCCUACAAAAGAUCCAAGUUUGUCAUUCCUAUGGCACAGUCGUACUCCAUUGUGUAUAAGUACCACAUUUUCUUAUCCGUUCAUGUAUUGAUAGACAUAUCGGCUACUAAAUUCUGCUGCUGUAAUAUGAGUGUGCACAUAUCAUUGUAAUAUGAUGUCUUUAACUCUUUUGGGAAGAUACCUAGAAGAGAAAUAAAAAUGGAAUUUCUAUUUUUAA